UUCAUUCUCAAAGGAGGAGGGGGAUCAAUAUUUCUUAGCUUUUUUUGGGUCCAAACCCCCCAUAAAGCCAAAGUUGUGUCCUAAAAGUAUACAUUGGAAAUUGGAUGUAAGUAAUAAUACAAUGACCACACCCAUCAUUGAUCUUUCCCGACAAAAAUAUAUGUUUGCCUUCAGCAAACAGCAACAAUCUUAUGACCAAGCUCAAGGUUACCGGAAGCUCAUGACCGAUCCCAAGGUUUCCACUAGGAAGCUCAAAGAUUCCAUCUUUAACAAAGGGAAACCCACCAGGCCUUGGAAUUUGAGGACCGAAAGAGCUCCUUGGAACUGCAAACGCCACACCAAGCCCAACAACUCUAUCAGUGGAAUUAUGGUGCCUGCAAACAAGAAGGAUGAGGAAGAGGAGAAGUUCCUAGAGAGACUGAAGUAUUCUAUUUCACCCAAGGAUGAGGUGGAACAAGAUUUCUUGGCUAGGAUUGGGAACAAAUCUCCCAAGAAGUCCAAUAAGUAGCCUUAAAGUAUGCAUCUGCAAUUGAAUGAGUUGGAAUGAUUGCUUGGAGAUGUUUCCUACCGUGACAUAAAUAAUAGUAUACCAGAUCAAUAAUGUCAAUGGAAAAGAUUAGUCCAGUAAUAAUGGAAAUUAUGAAAUUCUACAUCUGGUUAUUUGAAGUGUAAUAGCUUUUAGUCUUUUACAUCAUGGACAUUAAAAUUCUUGAACAGUGUUGCUUUCUUUCCUUCA